AUUGAACGCUGGCGGCAGGCCUAACACAUGCAAGUCGAGCGGUAGAGAGGUGCUUGCAUCUCUUGAGAGCGGCGGACGGGUGAGUAAUGCCUAGGAAUCUGCCUAGUGGUGGGGGAUAACGUUCGGAAACGGACGCUAAUACCGCAUACGUCCUACGGGAGAAAGCGGGGGAUCUUCGGACCUCGCGCCAUUAGAUGAGCCUAGGUCGGAUUAGCUAGUUGGUGAGGUAAUGGCUCACCAAGGCGACGAUCCGUAACUGGUCUGAGAGGAUGAUCAGUCACACUGGAACUGAGACACGGUCCAGACUCCUACGGGAGGCAGCAGUGGGGAAUAUUGGACAAUGGGCGAAAGCCUGAUCCAGCCAUGCCGCGUGUGUGAAGAAGGUCUUCGGAUUGUAAAGCACUUUAAGUUGGGAGGAAGGGUAGUAACCUAAUACGUUGCUACUUUGACGUUACCGACAGAU
rnacentral:rRNA from 1 species